CGGGAAUAAGACGUCGGACGGAUGAAAGGACGCGGUGUGUGUGUGUGUGUAGAAGCGGAGAGAUCAGAAUAGGCUACAUGAAGCCUCUUCAUCAGGCGCAGUGUUAUGACAGAGAUCCAUAUAGGCUGUCUAUACAGGGCAGAUGUGUCCGGGUCAGUGACGUUCUGUAUCAUCAUUUACAUAUUGUACUGUACUGUGUGUAGCCUAAUGUCAGACACAAAAGUGUGUAUUUAUAGGCUAUGGUCUACGUGUGCGUGCGUGCGUGCGUGCGUGUGAUAUUCCCCGUUGUAGGUUACAAAAAACG
ensembl:lncRNA